CAGUAAUCAGUACACUGCAGAGAGCAUAAUUUCUUUUUUCUGCUUAAUAUAUAAUGGGGCGCAGUUCUCAUAAACCUACCCAACUAUUAUGUUAGUGGUGGCUAUAUUAUAUGUUAUAUAACAUGUUGUAUAACUGUUGAGAUCAUGAACAUUUUAGAUGUUGAAUACCUUGCUUGCAAGGAGUGUCACGAAUACCGAGACUUGCUCUCGCACAUGCUGAAUCGUAUCACAUUCUUAUUCCUUUGUCUAUUUCAGCCCUUCUAUUUUUGGUUUAUGGCAGUGUUGUUGUCAUGACGAAGACAGACCCAAGUAUUGAAAGGGAUGAUCUGAUUUUGUUCCAGGAGAUUGCCAUGUACAUGCUCCUUGCAUGUGGAGCUGUCUAUGUGAUCUCGAUAAGAAAGAUUUGUGGAUGUUGACCCAACAGGCAAUUGCUACUGAGAUGCAAAGUGAAUCCAAGUGGAAGCAAUUAGGGGAGUUAGCUAUGUCAAAUGGAUCCAUGGAUUUUAAGGCAUACUUGGUGUUGAAGAGUAGUGGAAGCAAUUAGGGGAGUUAGCUAUGUCAAAUGAAUCCAAGUGGAAGCAAUUAGGGGAGUUAGCUAUGCCUUAAAAUCCAAGUGGAAGUACAUUUUCGAAACUGAUCACUACUCUUCAACACCAAGUAUGUCUUCUUAUUCUGUUCACUAGCAUGCCAGUUGUUACUUGCAUUACCAUAUCAUAAUUUUUAAAGACUAUGGAUAGCAGGUCCAUCUAUAUUGCUGACAUACCUAUGGUAAGUACAAAUCCUUUGAGUCUUUGAGAAAGGAUAUCUCAUUGAAUUUGUUCUUUUUGGAAUUGUCCCUCAACACAAAUGCUAAAAUGAUUUUUCCAUAGGAGAGAAUGUAUGAUCCUCCAUUUUAAACAACCUUUUUAAAUACCAGUAUGAAAUAAUACUUUUUCCUUUGAGUAUCCAUCUGUGUUCCUAUAAUUUAAACACCAGUAUGUCCAUGGCCACCUGCAGCACGGUGUUGACUCCACCUUCCAGUGCCUCCUUAUCCAGCUCUCCAUG
rnacentral:lncRNA from 1 species